rnacentral:rRNA from 1 species
UACGGGGGGGGCAAGCGUUGUUCGGAAUUACUGGGCGUAAAGGGCUCGUAGGUGGCCAACUAAGUCAGACGUGAAAUCCCUCGGCUUAACCGGGGAACUGCGUCUGAUACUGGAUGGCUUGAGUUUGGGAGAGGGAUGCGGAAUUCCAGGUGUAGCGGUGAAAUGCGCAGAUAUCAGGAGGAACACCGGUGGCGAAGGCGGGUCUCUGGGCCGAUACUGACGCUGAGGAGCGAAAGCGUGGGGAGCGAACAGG